rnacentral:rRNA from 1 species
CCCUUAGAUGUUCUGGGCCGCACGCGCGCUACACUGAUGCAUUCAACGAGCCUAUCCUUGACCGACAGGUCCGGGUAAUCUUUGAAUCUGCAUCGUGACGGGGAUAGAUUAUUGCAAUUAUUAAUCUUCAGCGAGGAAUGCCUAGUAGGCGCAAGUCAUCAGCUUGCGUCGAUUACGUCCCUGCCCUUUGUACACACCGCCCGUCGCUCCUACCGAUUGGGUGUGCUGGUGAAAUGUUCGGAUCGGCCGUUUGUCGCGGUUUCCGCGUCAUGUGGCUGAGAAGUUCAUUAAACCCUCCCACCUAGAGGAAGGAGAAGUCGUAACA